GGCAGUUCUCAAGUAAUGCACCCCAGAAUUGGGCUCCCUCCUCUCUGGUUCCGGGUGCAUCACCCGAGAACCGCA
rfam:Myotis lucifugus cont2.6143, whole genome shotgun sequence.